rnacentral:rRNA from 1 species
UACGGAGGAUGCAAGCGUUAUCCGGAAUUAUUGGGCGUAAAGCGUCCGCAGGUGGCACUUCAAGUCUGCUGUCAAAGACCGGGGCUUAACCCUGGAAAGGCAGUGGAAACUGAAGCGCUAGAGUGUGGUAGAGGCAAUCGGAAUUCCAGGUGUAGCGGUGAAAUGCGUAGAUAUCUGGAAGAACACCGGUGGCGCAAGCGGAUUGCUGGGCCAUAACUGACACUGAGGAACGAAAGCUAGGGGAGCAAAUGGG